rnacentral:rRNA from 1 species
CCUACGGGUGACAGCAGUAGGGAAUCUUUCACAAUGGGCGAAAGCCUGAUGGAGCACCGCCGCGUGCAGGAUGAAGGCCUUCGGGUUGUAAACUGCUUUUAUAAGCGAGAAAUAUGAUGGUAACUUAUGAAUAAGGAUCGGCUAACUACGUGCCAGCAGCCGCGGUCAUACGUAGGAUCCGAGCAUUAUCCGGAGUGACUGGGUGUAAAGAGUUGCGUAGGUGGCAUAAUAAGUAGCUAGUGAAAUCUGGUGGCUCAACCAUUCAGACUAUUAGCUAAACUGUUAAGCUCGAGACCGUUAGGGGUAACUGGAAUUUCUAGUGUAGGAGUGAAAUCCGUAGAUAUUAGAAGGAACACCAAUAGCGUAGGCAGGUUGCUGGGACGGUUCUGACACUAAGGCACGAAAGCGUAGGGAGCAAACGGGAUUAGAGACCCUUGUAGUC